rfam:Gossypium hirsutum cultivar TM-1 chromosome 13, whole genome shotgun sequence
UAUUAAAAAUUUCAUUUAUUUCUACUGGUAAAAACUGGUAUGGUUGAUGGAAUAGCCAGACAGUUUAACAUGACGUGCCACAUGUACCUCAUUCUAGCAUAUAAAGAUUGAUUUUUAACAAUAGAAAUUGAUAGAAUUUUUAACA